rnacentral:rRNA from 1 species
GAUGAACGCUGGCGGCGUGCCUAACACAUGCAAGUCGAGCGAACGGAUGAGGAGCUUGCUCCGAUGACGCUACCGGCGGGCGGGUGAGUAACACGUAUAUAACCUACCUAUAAGACUAACAUCCCUUCGCGAAAGCGGAGAUAACACCGGUCCAUAUAUUGAACCGCAUGGUUCAAUAGUAAAAGAGGGUUUUGCUGUCACUUAGAGAGGUAUCCUCGCUGCAUUAGCUAGUUGCUAAGGUAACGGCCUACCAAGGCAACGAUGCGUAGCUGACCUGAGAGGAUGAUCCGCCACACUGGAACUGAGACACGGUCCAGACUCCUACGGGAGGCAGCAGUAGGGAAUAUUCAACAAUGGGCGAAAGCCUGAUGCAGCAAAGCCGCGUGAGUGAUGAAGGUCUUCGGAUCGUAAAACUCUUUUAGUGGGGAGGAACGGAUGUGUAUGGAAACAUGGACGUUUUGACGAUACCUACUCAGAAAGCAACGGCUAACUACGUG